rnacentral:tRNA from 1 species
GCGGGUGUGGCGGAAUGGCAGACGCGCUAGAUUCAGGGUCUAGUGUCCUUUACGGACGUGGGGGUUCAAGUCCCUUCACCCGCA